GAAGUGGCAUGGUAAACAUGCAGCCCGGGCUUCGCAUCGAUGCCAUGUUUUGCCAUGGCUGCCAUUGCUGCAUUCACAGCCAUAUCCACAGGAACUGAGUCUGAUCCAAAGAAUUAACAAAGACGAGGAAAGAAAAGGAAAGGCAGCUGCUUACAAUGUCAACUACAGUUUGAGGGUCACCCAAGAAGCCAGGGAGCUGUCCUUUGCCAUAGGCUAAGAGCACUGGAUCUGCCAUUCUGAUAGCCAAGGGAGGAGAGGGUUUUUUCAGCUUCUCAAUGACCAGGGACAGGUUCUCUAUAAGAGCUUUCAAUGAUACUAGGACGUAUGAUCACGACAGGCAGAUCCCCUCGCGAGCUGUCUAUCACCAUCUCGCCCAUUGCUUUGGUGAAGGUGUAAGUGUUUUGGAACCCGUGGAUUAUGGCUCUGGUGUUGAUGUUUUCACAAGAUUGAAGGUGCAAGUUAGCUAUGAAGGUUGGUUGAAGUUACAGAAAUCGGUCUGCUCUAUGCAUUAGCGUGCAAGUUAG